rnacentral:rRNA from 1 species
AUUGAACGCUGGCGGCAUGCUUUACACAUGCAAGUCGAACGGUAACAGGGUGCUUGCACCGCUGACGAGUGGCGAACGGGUGAGUAAUGCGUCGGAACGUGCCGAGUAGUGGGGGAUAACGCAGCGAAAGUUGUGCUAAUACCGCAUACGUACUGAGGUAGAAAGUGGGGGACCUUCGGGCCUCACGCUAUUCGAGCGGCCGACGUCUGAUUAGCUAGUAGGUGAGGUAAAGGCUCACCUAGGCGAGGAUCAGUAGCGGGUCUGAGAGGAUGAUCCGCACCACUGGGACUGAGACACGGCCCAGACUCCUACGGGAGGCAGCAGUGGGGAAUUUUGGACAAUGGGCGAAAGCCUGAUCCAGCCAUGCCGCGUGUCUGAAGAAGGCCUUCGGGUUGUAAAGGACUUUUGUCAGGGAGGAAAUCCCUAGUGCUAAUAACACUGGGGGAUGACAGUACCUGAAGAAUAAGCACCGGCUAACUACGUGCCAGCCGCCGCCGUAA